rnacentral:rRNA from 1 species
AGAGUUUGAUCAUGGCUCAGGACGAACGCUGGCGGCGUGCCUAAUACAUGCAAGUCGAGCGAGCGGAACUAACAGAUUUACUUCUAUAAUGACGUUAGGAAAGCGAGCGGCGGAUGGGUGAGUAACACGUGGGGAACCUGCCCCAUAGUCUGGGAUACCACUUGGAAACAGGUGCUAAUACCGGAUAAGAAAGCAGAUCGCAUGAUCAGCUUUUAAAAGGCGGCGUAAGCUGUCGCUAUGGGAUGGCCCCGCGGUGCAUUAGCUAGUUGGUAAGGUAAAGGCUUACCAAGGCGAUGAUGCAUAGCCGAGUUGAGAGACUGAUCGGCCACAUUGGGACUGAGACACGGCCCCAACUCCUACGGGAGGCAGCAGUAGGGAAUCUUCCACAAUGGACGCAAGUCUGAUGGAGCAACGCCGCGUGAGUGAAGAAGGUUUUCGGAUCGUAAAGCUCUGUUGUUGGUGAAGAAGGAUAGAGGUAGUAACUGGCCUUUAUUUGACGGUAAUCAACCAGAAAGUCACGGCUAACUACGUGCCAGCAGCCGCGGUAAUACGUAGGUGGCAAGCGUUGUCCGGAUUUAUUGGGCGUAAAGCGAGCGCAGGCGGAAGAAUAAGUCUGAUGUGAAAGCCCUCGGCUUAACCGAGGAACUGCAUCGGAAACUGUUUUUCUUGAGUGCAGAAGAGGAGAGUGGAACUCCAUGUGUAGCGGUGGAAUGCGUAGAUAUAUGGAAGAACACCAGUGGCGAAGGCGGCUCUCUGGUCUGCAACUGACGCUGAGGCUCGAAAGCAUGGGUAGCGAACAGGAUUAGAUACCCUGGUAGUCCAUGCCGUAAACGAUGAGUGCUAAGUGUUGGGAGGUUUCCGCCUCUCAGUGCUGCAGCUAACGCAUUAAGCACUCCGCCUGGGGAGUACGACCGCAAGGUUGAAACUCAAAGGAAUUGACGGGGGCCCGCACAAGCGGUGGAGCAUGUGGUUUAAUUCGAAGCAACGCGAAGAACCUUACCAGGUCUUGACAUCUAGUGCCAUUUGUAGAGAUACAAAGUUCCCUUCGGGGACGCUAAGACAGGUGGUGCAUGGCUGUCGUCAGCUCGUGUCGUGAGAUGUUGGGUUAAGUCCCGCAACGAGCGCAACCCUUGUUAUUAGUUGCCAGCAUUAAGUUGGGCACUCUAAUGAGACUGCCGGUGACAAACCGGAGGAAGGUGGGGAUGACGUCAAGUCAUCAUGCCCCUUAUGACCUGGGCUACACACGUGCUACAAUGGGCAGUACAACGAGAAGCGAGCCUGCGAAGGCAAGCGAAUCUCUGAAAGCUGUUCUCAGUUCGGACUGCAGUCUGCAACUCGACUGCACGAAGCUGGAAUCGCUAGUAAUCGCGGAUCAGCACGCCGCGGUGAAUACGUUCCCGCGCCUUGUACACACCGCCCGUCACACCAUGGGAGUCUGCAAUGCCCAAAGCCGGUGGCCUAACCUUCGGGAAGGAGCCGUCUAAGGCAGGGCAGAUGACUGGGGUGAAGUCGUAACAAGGUAGCCGUAGGAGAACCUGCGGCUGGAUCACCUCCUU